rnacentral:rRNA from 1 species
GACAGCGAGGUAUGUGGUUUAAUUCGACGCUACGCGAAGAACCUACCUGGGCUUGACAUGCUUGAGAAAGGACCAAGAAACUGGUCCCCCCAUGACCGCAAGGUCAUGGCUCAUCCACAGGUGCUGCAUGGUUGUCGUCAGCUCGUGUCGUGAGAUGUAAGGUUAAGUCCUUGAACGAGCGCAACCCCUUCGUCAGUUGCAAACCAGCAAUGGCGCACCCUGACGAUACUGCCAGCUAAAAGUUGGAGGAAGGAGGGGAUGACGUCAAAUCCUCAUGGCCUUUAUAUCCAGGGCUACACACGUCCUACAAUGACCGGUACAAAGGGAAGCAAGACCGCGAGGUGGAGCAAAUCCCAAAAAGCCGGCCUCAGUGCGGAUUGCAGUCUGCAACUCGACUGCAUGAAGUUGGAAUCGCUAGUAAUCGCAGAUCAGCACGCUGCGGUGAAUAAGUUCUCGGGUUUU